UGUUCCCUCUGUAGGUUCCCACCGGCCAGGCCUCGUCUCCUCCCUUCCAAGGGCUUGCUCACCUGCUGCUGCACCUGCUGCUGUGGCAGUUUUACACUGAACUCAGAUCCGCUCCCAGAUGCUUCAACACACACACGGUUUGUGCCCGGGAUAUGAGGCCUGAUGUGCAGCCAAGUGUGAAAUGUCUUUCACACACACGUCACAGGGUGACGACCUGAAAGCAGAGAAAUGCCGGCCAAGUUCACGUAAACUCUGAUAACAGCAAACGGCCCCAUCGCAUGUGCCCACCUGACCCAGGGAUGAGUUCACGGGAUUGUUGGAAACAUACGAAACCUUGGGUAAUGUCCACUGCUCCUCAGAAGGGGACGUUGCCAAGGCUGUUCUGCAUUCUGUAUUGCUGAAGCUCAAGGAUGCAUUCAAGUUCAAGGGCCUGGAGGGAGGACAGAAGCCUGAAUAAACUUUGGUCAAAUCAUGUUAGCUCAUUUUUUGGGGUUAUAUUCUUUUCUGUUAAUUUGUAGAUUCAUAUCAUUAUUUGAAUUUCAUUUAUGGGUGGUUUAUUUUGUGAGACCUUUGAUAUACGGGGAAAAUAUUCAUAAUACUACUAAGCAUUAAUUUCUUAAUUAAUUGUAAUUUCCCACCAAAUGUUGAAACUGUUGAUUGUUUUCCCCUCAUUGUUGGGGAUGAAAGGUUUGACUGUAGGACUCCAAAAGCGGUGUCCUCUUGUGACGACCCCAGAAACACAGACUCCAGACCAGACGAUGCAAUAGAACAGGAGGUAAUUUUAUUUCAUUUGUACAAAUGGGCCCUCUACUGCUGCAAGCAGCAAGCAAGCGAGAGGAGCCCCGAGCAGCUAUCUCACACAGCUUUUAAAGGGCAAAACCACAAAAUUAACAUAUUAUAGGCUGGUGUAAGUUCAUUGGAUAAUUUUCAGUAGCGGGCCUUGUAUGGCAGUCUAAAAGUGGUAAUGUUGGUGGAAAAGUACUAGGUCAAAGGGAUACA